rnacentral:lncRNA from 1 species
GGCGGGGCAGCGGCGAGCCGGGGAAGUAGACCGUGGAAACCGGAGCGGCCACGUGAGCGCGCCGGGAGCCACGGUAUCGUGUGGUGGCCGGUGAGCUCCGACACGCGUAGAAAUCUCAGCUGGUCGCUGUACGUAUCGGGAACGGUUUGCCGUCAUUUUCUUCUUUUCAAUUUGCAGCAAAGACGUGCCAGAAAAAAUCGUCGAGGAGCAGUAA